GCGACUGUGGUGGAACGGUAGACACGCGGGCUUGAGGGGCUCGUGCUUCACGGCGUGAGGGUUCAAAUCCCUCCAGUCGCACCA
rnacentral:tRNA from 1 species